rnacentral:rRNA from 1 species
GCAAUGCGUGGCAUACGGCUCAGUAACACGUAGUCAACAUGCCCAGGGGACGUGGAUAACCUCGGGAAACUGAGGAUAAACCGCGAUAGGCCAAGGUUUCUGGAAUGGACACUGGCUGAAACCUAUAUGGCCCCUGGAUUGGACUGCGGCCGAUCAGGCUGUUGGUGAGGUAAUGGCCCACCAAACCUGUAACCGGUACGGGCUUUGAGAGAAGGAGCCCGGAGAUGGGCACUGAGACAAGGGCCCAGGCCCUAUGGGGCGCAGCAGGCGCGAAAAUUCUGCAAUAGGCGAAAGCUUGACAGAGUUACUCUGAGUGAUGCCCGCUAAGGGCAUCUUUUGGCACCUCUAAAAAUGGUGCAGAAUAAGGGGUGGGCAAGUCUGGUGUCAGCCGCCGCGGUAAUACCAGCACCCCGAGUGGUCGGGACGAUUAUUGGGCCUAAAGCAUCCGUAGCUUGUUCUGCAAGUCUUCCGUUAAAUCCACCUGCUCAACAGAUGGGCUGCGGGAGAUACUACAGGGCUAGGAGGCGGGAGAGGCAAGCGGUACUCAGUGGGUAGGGGUAAAAUCCUCUGAUCCACUGAAGACCACCAGUGGCGAAGGCGGCUUGCCAGAACGCGCUCGACGGUGAGGGAUGAAAGCUGGGGGAGCAAACCGGAUUAGAUACCCGGGUAGUCCC